AUGAUGUUGCAAUGCCAAUGAUACUGUUCAUUCAGUUUAUUUCUAUUGGAUUCUGUUAACAGGGAAUACUCUUGGAGAAAUUGCUGGUGAGAAGGCGGGUAUAUUUAAGCUUUUACGGUGCCUCAGCCUGACGAAGCAAUGCGUGUGCUUGAGGAGAAGGCUUCUCAAUUGAAUGUACCCCUUCAAGUUGUAAACCCAUUAGAUCCGAGUUUGCUAAAUGGUUUAAGACUUGGUCUUGAAGGUGAGCACCAAUAUCUGAAUGCCGGUCUUGCUGUCGCACUGUGCUCGACAUGGCUAAAAAGGA